GACGAACGCUGGCGGCGUGCUUAACACAUGCAAGUCGAACGGAAAGGCCCUGCUUUUGUGGGGUGCUCGAGUGGCGAACGGGUGAGUAACACGUGAGUAACCUGCCCUUGACUUUGGGAUAACUUCAGGAAACUGGGGCUAAUACCGGAUAGGAGCUCCUGCUGCAUGGUGGGGGUUGGAAAGUUUCGGCGGUUGGGGAUGGACUCGCGGCUUAUCAGCUUGUUGGUGGGGUAGUGGCUUACCAAGGCUUUGACGGGUAGCCGGCCUGAGAGGGUGACCGGCCACAUUGGGACUGAGAUACGGCCCAGACUCCUACGGGAGGCAGCAGUGAGGAAUAUUGCACAAUGGGCGGAAGCCUGAUGCAGCAACGCCGCGUGCGGGAUGACGGCCUUCGGGUUGUAAACCGCUUUCGCCUGUGACGAAGCGUGAGUGACGGUAAUGGGUAAAGAAGCACCGGCUAACUACGG
rnacentral:rRNA from 1 species